GAUGAACGCUGGCGGCGUGCCUAACACAUGCAAGUCGAACGGAAAGGCCCUGCUUUUGUGGGGUGCUCGAGUGGCGCACGGGUGAGUAACACGUGAGUAACCCGCCCUUGACUUUGGGAUAACUUCAGGAAACUGGGGCUAAUACCGGAUAGGAGCUCCUGCUGCUUGGUGGGGGUUGGAAAGUUUCGGCGGUUGGGGAUAGACUCGCGGGUUAUCAGCUUGUUGGUGGGGUAGUGGCUUACCAAGGCUUUGACGGAUAGCCCGCCUGGGAGGGUGGCCGGCCACAUGAGGACUGCGAGACGGCCCAGACUGGUACGGGAGGCAGUGGGCGAGAGUAUGACGCAGUGAUGGGAAGCGUGUUACAACAGCCUCGCGUGCGGAAAGACGGGCUACGGGUUGUGAACCGCUUUCGCCUGAGACGAAGCGGGAGUGACGGUAAUGGGUAAAGAAGCACCGGCUAACUACGUG
rnacentral:rRNA from 1 species